rnacentral:ncRNA from 1 species
GGAAACGAUAGCUAAUACCGCAUAAUCUCUUGUCUUUUACGAGAUGGGAGCAAAGCGGGGGACCUUCGGGCCUCGCGCGCUGAGAUUAGCCCAGGUGGGAUUAGCUAGUUGGUGGGGUAAUGGCUCACCAAGGCGACGAUCCCUAGCUGGUCUGAGAGGAUGAUCAGCCACACUGGAACUGAGACACGGUCCAGACUCCUACGGGAGGCAGCAGUGGGGAAUAUUGCACAAUGGGGGAAACCCUGAUGCAGCCAUGCCGCGUGUAUGAAGAAGGCCUUCGGGUUGUAAAGUACUUUCAGUUGUGAGGAAGGCGUUG